rnacentral:rRNA from 1 species
GACGAACGCUGGCGGCGUGCUUAACACAUGCAAGUCGAACGGUGAAGCACCUUCCUUUUGGUGGGUGUGGAUGAGUGGCGAACGGGUGAGUAACACGUGAGUAACCUGCCCCCUUCUUCUGGAUAACCGCAUGAAAGUGUGGCUAAUACGGGAUAUUCUGUGCCUGCUGCAUGGUGGGUGUGGGAAAGAUGCGCUUUUGGGUGUUUUUGGUGGGGGAUGGGCUCGCGGCCUAUCAGCUUGUUGGUGGGGUGAUGGCCUACCAAGGCGGUGACGGGUAGCCGGCAUGAGAGGGUGGACGGUCACACUGGGACUGAGACACGGCCCAGACUCCUACGGGAGGCAGCAGUGGGGAAUAUUGCACAAUGGGCGCAAGCCUGAUGCAGCGACGCCGCGUGAGGGAUGGAGGCCUUCGGGUUGUAAACCUCUUUCGCCAGUGAAGCAGGCCUGUCCCUUGUGGGUGGGUUGACGGUAGCUGGAUAAGAAGCGCCGGCUAACUACGUG